AAUGGCUCAUUAAAUCAGUUAUCGUUUAUUUGAUAGUACCUACCAACUACAUGGAUAACCGUGGUAAUUCUAGAGCUAAUACAUGCUAAAAACCCCGACUUCGGGAGGGGUGUAUUUAUUAGAUAAAAAACCAAUGCCCCUCGGGGCUCCUUGGUGAUUCAUGAUAACUCAACGGAUCGCAUGGCCUUGCGCCGGCGACGGUUCAUUCAAAUUUCUGCCCUAUCAACUUUCGAUGGUAAGGUAUUGGCUUACCAUGGUUUCAACGGGUAACGGGGAAUUAGGGUUCGAUUCCGGAGAGGGAGCCUGAGAAACGGCUACCACAUCCAAGGAAGGCAGCAGGCGCGCAAAUUACCCAAUCCCGACUCGGGGAGGUAGUGACAAUAAAUACUGAUACAGGGCUCUUUUGGGUCUUGUAAUCGGAAUGAGUACAAUUUAAACCCCUUAACGAGGAACAAUUGGAGGGCAAGUCUGGUGCCAGCAGCCGCGGUAAUUCCAGCUCCAAUAGCGUAUAUUAAAGUUGUUGCAGUUAAAAAGCUCGUAGUUGAACCUUGGGCCUGGCUGGCCGGUCCGCCUCACCGCGUGUACUGGUCCGGCCGGGCCUUUCCUUCUGGAGAGCCGCAUGCCCUUCACUGGGUGUGUCGGGGAACCAGGACUUUUACUUUGAAAAAAUUAGAGUGUUCAAAGCAGGCCUUUGCUCGAAUACGUUAGCAUGGAAUAAUAGAAUAGGACGUGCGGUCCUAUUUUGUUGGUUUCUAGGACCGCCGUAAUGAUUAAUAGGGAUAGUCGGGGGCAUCAGUAUUCAAUUGUCAGAGGUGAAAUUCUUGGAUUUAUUGAAGACUAACUACUGCGAAAGCAUUUGCCAAGGAUGUUUUCAUUAAUCAGUGAACGAAAGUUAGGGGAUCGAAGACGAUCAGAUACCGUCGUAGUCUUAACCGUAAACUAUGCCGACUAGGGAUCGGGCGAUGUU
rnacentral:rRNA from 1 species